rnacentral:rRNA from 1 species
GAUGAACGCUGGCGGCGUGCCUAAUACAUGCAAGUCGAGCGACUGGAUUAAGAGCUUGCUCUUAUGAAGUUAGCGGCGGACGGGUGAGUAACACGUGGGUAACCUGCCCAUAAGACUGGGAUAACUCCGGGAAACCGGGGCUAAUACCGGAUAACAUUUUGAACCGCAUGGUUCGAAAUUGAAAGGCGGCUUCGGCUGUCACUUAUGGAUGGACCCGCGUCGCAUUAGCUAGUUGGUGAGGUAACGGCUCACCAAGGCAACGAUGCGUAGCCGACCUGAGAGGGUGAUCGGCCACACUGGGACUGAGACACGGCCCAGACUCCUACGGGAGGCAGCAGUAGGGAAUCUUCCGCAAUGGACGAAGGUCUGACGGAGCAACGCCGCGUGAGUGAUGAAGGCUUUCGGGUCGUAAAACUCUGUUGUUAGGGAAGAACAAGUGCUAGUUGAAUAAGCUGGCACCUUGACGGUACCUAACCAGAAAGCCACGGCUAACUACGUGCCAGCCGCCGCCGUAA